AUGUUGGAUUCAGCAGCACACAUACUGAAACUGGAAUGAUACAGAAAAAAUUAGCAUAGCCCCUGCUAAAUGAUGUCAUGCAAAUUCAUGAAGUAUUUCAUAUUUUU
ensembl:snRNA U6 U6 spliceosomal RNA